CGCAUCUGUGCAUGCAGCAUAUCAAUAAGCGGAGGAAAAGAAACUAACAAGGAUUCCCCUAGUAACGGCGAGUGAAGCGGGAAGAGCUCAAAUUUGAAAUCUUAAAGGGUCUCCCUUUACGAAUUGUAGUUUAAAGAAGUGUUUUCUGUUGAGGUUUUGGUAAAAGUUCUUUGGAAUAGGACAUCAUAGAGGGUGAGAAUCCCGUAUUUGACCUUUACUUUCAACUUUGUGAUACACUUUCAAAGAGUCGGAUUGUUUGGGAAUGCAGUCCAAAAUGGGUGGUAAAUUUCAUCUAAAGCUAAAUAUUGGCGAGAGACCGAUAGCGAACAAGUACCGUGAGGGAAAGAUGAAAAGAACUUUGAAAAGAGAGUUAAACAGUACGUGAAAUUGUCAAAAGGGAAGCGUUUGACACCAGUGUUGUUUUUCUGAAAAUCAAUUAAAGAACUGUUUAUGCUAAGCUGUUUAGACUUUAUCAGCUAACUGUUUAGUUUUGAGCUUUUCUUUAAUGCACUUUUCAGUUAACAAGUCAACAUCAAUUUCUUUUGCUGUAAAAAAGCUUGAGGAAGGUGGCUUGAGAUUCGUCUUAAGUGUUUAUAGCCUCUUGCCUAUGCAGUCGGAGAGAUUGAGGUCUGCAGCGUAGAUCCUUCGGGGCUAAAUGCAUUUGUGCUAAGUUAUAGCAUUUUAUAGACAACUUGUUGACUAUGAUUUGUCUUGUAGCUUACUCGCUUAUGUUAUUUUACCUACGCUUAGGAUGUUGAACGCGCACAGAGUCUC
rnacentral:rRNA from 1 species